CCUACGGGUGGCAGCAGUAGGGAAUAUUCCACAAUGAGCGAAAGCCUGAUGGAGCAACGCCGCGUGGGUGAAGAAGGUCUUCGGAUCGUAAAACCCUGUUGUUAGAGAAGAAAGUUCGUGAGAGUAACUGUUUACGUUUCGACGGUAUCUAACCAGAAAGCCACGGCUAACUACGUGCCAGCAGCCGCGGUAAUACAUAGGUGGCAAGCGUUAUCCGGAUUUAUUGGGCGUAAAGGGAACGUAGGCGGUCUGUUAAGUCUGUGGUAAAAUCCUCGGGCUAAACCGCGGCACGCUUUUGAUACUGGGAGACUAGAGUGCGAUAGAGGGGAGUGGAACUCCAUGUGUAGCGGUGAAAUGCGUAGAUAUAUGGAAGAACACCAGAGGCGAAGGCAGCUGACUGGUUCUAAACUGACGCUGAGGUACGAAAGCGUGGGUAGCAAACAGGAUUAGAUACCCGAGUAGUC
rnacentral:rRNA from 1 species